rnacentral:rRNA from 1 species
GUAGGGGGCGAGCGUUGCUCGGAUUUACUGGGCGUAAAGAGCGCGUAGGCGGCCAGGUAAGUCCGGUGUGAAAUCCCUCGGCUCAACCGAGGACCCGCAUCGGAAACUACUUGGCUUGAGUCCAGGAGAGGAGGGUGGAAUUCCCGGUGUAGCGGUGAAAUGCGUAGAGAUCGGGAGGAACACCUGUGGCGAAGGCGGCCCUCUGGACUGGUACUGACGCUGAGGCGCGAAAGCUGGGGGAGCGAACGGGAUUAGAUACCCCGGGUAGUCCCAGCCGUAAACGAUGGGCACUAGGUGUGGGAGGUAUUGACCCCCCUUCCGUGCCGCAGCUAACGCAUUAAGUGCCCCGCCUGGGGAGUACGGCCGCAAGGUUG